CUUUGGUGCGUUUAUACCGGAAC
rnacentral:snRNA from 1 species